GCCUCGGUGGUGUAGUGGUCAAGACGCUUGCCUGGUAAUCGAGAGGGCGCGGGUUCAAUUCCAGCCGAGGCA
rnacentral:tRNA from 1 species